GACGAACGCUGGCGGCGUGCUUAACACAUGCAAGUCGAACGGAAAGGCCCCUUUGGGGGUCCUCGAGUGGCGAACGGGUGAGUAACACGUGAGUAACCUGCCCUUGACUUCGGGAUAACUUCAGGAAACUGGGGCUAAUACCGGAUAGGAAUCCUUGCUGCAUGGUGGGGGUUGGAAAGCUUCGGCGGUUUUGGAUGGACUCGCGGCUUAUCAGCUUGUUGGUGGGGUAGUGGCUUACCAAGGCUUUGACGGGUAGCCGGCCUGAGAGGGCGACCGGCCACAUUGGGACUGAGAUACGGCCCAGACUCCUACGGGAGGCAGCAGUGGGGAAUAUUGCACAAUGGGCGGAAGUCUGAUGCAGCAACGCCGCGGGCGGGAUGACGGCCUUCGGGUUGUAAACCGCUUUCAGCAGGGGCGAAGCUUGUGGUGACGGUACCUGCAGAAGAAGCACCGGCUAACUACGUG
rnacentral:rRNA from 1 species